CGAACGGGUGAGUAACGCUCGGGGAAGUCUGCCUUUGANCGGGGACAACAUUUGGAAACGAAUGCUAAUACCGACAUAAAAACUUUUAAAACACAAGUUUAAGUUUGAAAGAUGCAAUUGCAUCACUCAAAGAUGAUCCCGCGUUGUAUUAGCUAGUUGGUGAGGUAAAGGCUCACCAAGGCGAUGAUACAUAGCCGACCUGAGAGGGUGAUCGGCCACAUUGGGACUGAGACACGGCCCAAACUCCUACGGGAGGCAGCAG
rnacentral:rRNA from 1 species